GCAGCCGCAGCCUCCAGCAUUGCUCCUUUCUCUCUGCAGCAGGAGUGAUCUUUCCAGGAUGUUUAUCUGUAUCUGUCAGGUGGCUGUUCCGCCCCUGCUUAAAAUUCUCCAGCAGGACUUCAGAGUUGCCAGGGUGAAAUGCAGAGCCACUGGCUCACCCUCCCUGGUCUGAUCCUGUGCAUGUCUUCUAAACUUAUCUCUGGCACCAUGGCCAUGUGAAAUAGUCGUUCCAGCAUUUCCUUAAGCAUAUAUUUUUAAUCUUCUUUUGCCUCCUAUUCCCUCUAUUUGAAAUGUCACCCACACCACUUCCCCAUUAAUAGCUGCUUUUCUGUCUUGCUAGCUCCUACACAUUUGCACAUCACCUGGACAUUAUCGGCACCUCAAAGCCUCUCCUGGCGUUGUUCCUUCCAGAGUGAGGUGCCCCUGUCGGUUCUCCCAUAAAACCAUGGGUUGCACUGCAUGUAGCUCUCUGGACUCUGAUCAUUGAUUUACUUUCCUUUCUCCCUUAGUCACCUUUGAGUUCCACGUGCUGUCGGCCCAUCUCAAACUCAUGACACAAUUGUUGACACAUAGAUGGUAGCCAGUGCUUGUCAACUAAAGAAGAGAAUGGGAAAGGAAGAAGACAAAAGUGACCAAAGAAAAAAAACAGGGAUGCAGCCACCAGGUGGCAGGAUGGUGCUCAAACUGCAGGAUGCAGGCUUUCCCUGAAUUCCUCAGGAUUCAGGUUUCCAGUCAAUGCAAGAAGCCCUUCUUCCGUCCCUUCAGGAUCAGCCUGCUCUCUGCAGGGCGCUUCCAGGGACAAGGCCUCAUGAGGACAGCCCACUCCAUAAACAGGUGGAAUGCUGCCUUGAUCAAGUGCAGUCUCCUUCCCAGCUCUGCAAUGCAAGCGCACCCUGGACCCUGACUUCCCCAUCCUCCUUUUAUGCAGUCUCAAACUGAUGUGUCAUCGCUCCACAGUCCCUCAAGCCCCCAAGCUUCUCCCUCCUGCCUAGCUCCUUCCCUGGCCCCCAAAGAAGGCUGACAGGAGAAACUAAACUGAAAUAAAGAGGCCAUGGUAGCUCUGUUUCCUAAGAUGUUUUGUUCUUUUUCUACCCAUAAGGGAAUGAUUCAAAAUGUCCCUCCACCUGGGUCCAACCGGUUUGCCUGAAGUUAAUUCACUCACCAGCUGUUAAGGCUGCUUCUGUCCUUGGGUGAAAUUUGGCUGGCUCACCCACUCUUCGGAGCUACAACUGGGCCUGGCCUCAUUAGAAGCCAUGUGGCCUCUGUAGCUGGCACCGUGGCUGUCCCCCGAGUCAGCCGGGAUUGCAUCAGCUCCUCUGAUGGCCAGAAGCAGAUUUCACAUUUUUUCCUCUCUCGAAUGUGUGCUGUCUUCUUGCUGCGUUCUGAUUUAGCUUCCUAUCUCUGAGACACAUAUUUAGCUCUCGUCUCAUUUGCAGAGGUACUGUCAUGCUUUUGAACGAUGUGGUCUUACUUUUCCAGCUGUUCCAUGUCACCAAACCAACAUUCUUUGGGGUUACACUUGUGGGGAAUUGUCUUCCAAAAGACUAUCUUUCUAUUUCAAGUUUUGCCUAAGCAUCUCCAGCAGACAUUAUCAAUGAGGUAAUUUUUGGCAAACUUAAGAGCGUGAUCCUGCGUAACAGAUGCUUAGGAGAGCACUGACAACUCACACAAGAUGAUUACCAUUCCACUGGCUUGACCCUCCUAGGUUGAGAGCACAAGGGGGAGGGUUUUUUUGAUAGAAUUGAUGAGACUCAAAAAGAUCUGAUUUUGGUCUUUCAAUGUCAGUGGAUACCACUCAGGAUGUGUUGAACUGGGGAGGGGAGCUGGCCUGCACUAAACACAUACCACACGUCCAGCACUCCGUAAGAUUGGGGAGCAGCGGAGAGAAACAAAAAUGAUCAUUUAAAUGCUAUGCUGUUCAAAAUUGAGAAGGCAAAAAACCCUGGGAUGCCCUGAUGGAAACUGAGCAG
rnacentral:lncRNA from 1 species